AACGCUAGCUACAGGCUUAACACAUGCAAGUCGAGGGGCAGCACAGUGUAGCAAUACAUGGGUGGCGACCGGCGCACGGGUGCGUAACGCGUAUCCAACCUUCCCGAUACUCAGGGAUAGCCUUCCGAAAGGGAGAUUAAUACCUGAUGGUGUUUCAAUUCCGCAUGUUAAUGAAACUAAAGAUUUAUCGGUAUCGGAUGGGGAUGCGUGACAUUAGAUAGUAGGCGGGGUAACGGCCCACCUAGUCUACGAUGUCUAGGGGUUCUGAGAGGAAGGUCCCCCACACUGGAACUGAGGCACGGUCCAGACUCCUACGGGAGGCAGCAGUGAGGAAUAUUGGUCAAUGGUCGGAAGACUGAACCAGCCAAGUAGCGUGAAGGAUGAAGGUUCUAUGGAUUGUAAACUUCCUUUAUACGGGAAUAAAACCUCCCACGUGUGGGAGCUUGUAUGUACCGUAUGAAUAAGCAUCGGCUAACUCCGUGCCAGCAGCCGCGGUAAUACGGAGGAUGCGAGCGUUAUCCGGAUUUAUUGGGUUUAAAGGGAGCGUAGACGGGGGAUUAAGUCAGUUGUGAAAGGCUGCGGCUCAACCGCAGCACUGCAGUUGAUACUGGUUUCCUUGAGUGCGGUUGAGGUAUGUGGAAUUCGUGGUGUAGCGGUGAAAUGCUUAGAUAUCACGAAGAACUCCGAUUGCGAAGGCAGCAUACUAAGCCGUAACUGACGUUGAGGCUCGAAAGUGUGGGUAUCAAACAGGAUUAGAUACCCUGGUAGUCCACACGGUAAACGAUGAAUACUCGCUGUUGGCGAUAUAGUGUCAGCGGCCAAGCGAAAGCAUUAAGUAUUCCACCUGGGGAGUACGCCGGCAACGGUGAAACUCAAAGGAAUUGACGGGGGCCCGCACAAGCGGAGGAACAUGUGGUUUAAUUCGAUGAUACGCGAGGAACCUUACCCGGGCUUAAAUUGCGCUGGACAGAUUGGGAGACCAAUCCUUCUUCGGACCAGUGUGAAGGUGCUGCAUGGUUGUCGUCAGCUCGUGCCGUGAGGUGUCGGCUUAAGUGC
rnacentral:rRNA from 1 species